GAUGAAGAACGUAGCGAAAUGCGAUAAGUAAUGUGAAUUGCAGAACUCAGUGAACCAUCGAAUCUUUGAACGCACAUUGCGCCCGGCAGUAAUCUGCCGGGCAUGCCUGUCCGAGCGUCAUUUCUCCCCUCGAGCGCAGCUUUCCCCCCCGGGGGAGGGCCGCGCCCGGUGUUGGGGCGCUACGGAGGAGCCCAGCGCUCCCCCGUAGGCCCCGAAAUGUAGUGGCGGUCCCGCCGCGGCGCCCCCUGCGUAGUAGUUUUACAACUCGCAUCGGGUCCCGGCGGAGGCCAGCCGUCAAACCCCCCAACUUCAAUAGUUUGACCUCGGAUCAGGUAGGGUUACCCGCUGAACUUAAGCAUAUCAAUAAGCGGAGGA
rnacentral:misc_RNA from 1 species